rnacentral:rRNA from 1 species
AUUGAACGCUGGCGGCAUGCCUUACACAUGCAAGUCGAACGGCAGCACGGGAGCAAUCCUGGUGGCGAGUGGCGAACGGGUGAGUAAUAUAUCGGAACGUGCCCAGUCGUGGGGGAUAACGUAGCGAAAGCUACGCUAAUACCGCAUACGAUCUAUGGAUGAAAGCGGGGGAUCGCAAGACCUCGCGCGAUUGGAGCGGCCGAUAUCAGAUUAGGUAGUUGGUGGGGUAAAAGCCUACCAAGCCUUCGAUCUGUAGCUGGUCUGAGAGGACGACCAGCCACACUGGAACUGAGACACGGUCCAGACUCCUACGGGAGGCAGCAGUGGGGAAUUUUGGACAAUGGGCGCAAGCCUGAUCCAGCAAUGCCGCGUGCAGGAUGAAGGCCUUCGGGUUGUAAACUGCUUUUGUACGGGAACGAAACGGGUUCUUUCUAAUACAGAGAGCUAAUGACGGUACCGUAAGAAUAAGCACCGGCUAACUACGUGCCAGCAG